UGAACGCUGGCGGCGUGCCUAAUACAUGCAAGUCGAGCGAACAGACGAGGAGCUUGCUCCUCUGACGUUAGCGGCGGACGGGUGAGUAACACGUGGAUAACCUACCUAUAAGACUGGGAUAACUUCGGGAAACCGGAGCUAAUACCGGAUAAUAUAUUGAACCGCAUGGUUCAAUAGUGAAAGACGGUUUUGCUGUCACUUAUAGAUGGAUCCGCGCCGCAUUAGCUAGUUGGUAAGGUAACGGCUUACCAAGGCAACGAUGCGUAGCCGACCUGAGAGGGUGAUCGGCCACACUGUAACUGAGACACGGUCCAGACUCCUACGGGAGCCAGCAGUAGGGAAUCUUCCGCAAUGGGCGAAAGCCUGCAGGAGCACCGCCGCGUGAGUGAUGAAGGUCUUCGGAUCGUAAAACUCUGUUAUUAGGGAAGAACACAUGUGUAAGUAACUAUGCACGUCUUGACGGUACCUCAUCAGAAAGCCACGGCUAACUACGUG
rnacentral:rRNA from 1 species